rnacentral:rRNA from 1 species
AUGAACGCUAGCGGCAGGCUAACACAUGCAAGUCGAGGGGCAUCGGGAGUAGCAAUACUGCCGGCGACCGGCGCAAGGGUGCGGUAACGCGUGAGCAACAUGCCCGUAUCAGGGGGAUAAUCCAUGGAAACGUGGUCUAAUACCCCAUAGUAAUUAUGUAAGGCAUCUUAUAUAAUUUAAAGCUUUGGUGGAUACGGAUUGGCUCGCGUGACACUAGCUAGAUGGUAAGGUAACGGCUUACCAUGGCUACGAUGUCUAGGGGUUCUGAGAGGAAGGUCCCCCACACUGGAACUGAGACACGGUCCAGACUCCUACGGGAGGCAGCAGUGAGGAAUAUUGGACAAUGGAUGGAAAUCUGAUCCAGCCAUGCCGCGUGCAGGAAGACGGCCCUAUGGGUUGUAAACUGCUUUUGUAUGGGAGCAAUAAGGGCUACGCGUAGUCCGAUGAGAGUACCAUACGAAUAAGCACCGGCUAACUCCGUGCCAGCCGCGGC